UAUGGGGGAAGUCCUUGUGUGUAUAUGUUUGUCUUUUUUGGUUGAUAAAUAAAGCACUGUUGGCCAAUAGGGAAUCAAGUUAGGUGGGACUAGGAGUCAAGGAGGAUUCUGGGAAAUGUAGUAAAGAGAAGUCUUGUGAUCCAGGAAGGAAGUGACAUAGUAGGCAGACUUAUAAGUCUGGAGAAGCAGGAAAUCACUCUCUUCCUUCCCCUCUCUUCUCUGGGAGCUGCCAUGUGAGCCCAACAAGAGAGGAAGCAUGCUGUCGGCGUCCUCGAUCAGAUAAGUCUUUAUAAAAUAUAUAGAUUAAUAAUUAUGGUUGAUACUUAAGACAGAGAUAGGAGAUAAGAAAUCCUAGGCAUUGGCCAGCAGCAUUGUACCUAAUAUUAAUCUCUGUGUGUUAUUUGGGGCCCUAACAUGGCGGCAGGCAGGGCUCGGGCGGCUUGGAGGAAAGGCUUAUCGUUACAUCUUUCUGUUAGUAUCAUUCAUUUGAAAACUGAGCAUUUGGAGGGAAAAUGUCCCCUUUGGGGUUUUGUCUAGAAGAACUACACUAGCAAAACCAGGGUAGGAAUUAAAGUAUUCCCUGAGUGUGCAUCUUCCUUGAAUUACCCAUACCCUCCUCUCAUCUUCAUUUCCCCAUAUACAUGGCUACACCAAAAAUUUGUUUCCUUAAUCUUUUCUUCUGCUUCUUGCUGGGUGGGGGGGCUAUGGAUCUGUGAACCAAAUUCUCAAUUGUACACACACACUGUAACCUCUGUCUGUUGUCUCUUGUCCUCUAUAACCGGCAAGUUACAGUUCUCUUUGGUGACAUAAUACCUAUAGCUGAUUUAGAUAUUUCCAAAAGGAUAUCCAAGCCAUGCCAGAGUCUCAAUGACGCUUUAAGCCAGUUGAAACAAAGUUUAGAACCAUGUGCUGCCUUCUUAGAUUAGCUUAGAUGCUGCAAUGAAGUUUGAUUCUUUCUCCUAUAGCAGUGUAAAAGAUGGGCAUGGAACAGCCUCCUCCUGACUUUACAAUGCACAAGGAGGUGCUAAGGCAAGGGAUCCUGAUUGAGAACUGAUUUGCCAUGAGAAUUCACCAUGGAGUGUAAAGGGCAUUUUCAGUGAAACUGGAUAGAUCAGAGCUGUAUUUCAUUUAAGCUGAAUGGUAGAAAUACAAGAGCCCGGAAGGACAAAACUAUACAGAUCAACUGGGCCAUUUAUGCAUUGUUGGAUGCUGUGGACAACAUGGAAAGAUGGAG
rnacentral:lncRNA from 1 species